GGAUUCCCCUAGUAACUGCGAGUGAAGCGGGAAAAGCUCAAAUUUAAAAUCUGGCGGUCCCUGUGGUCGUCCGAGUUGUAAUUUAGAGAAGCGUUAUCCGCGCUGGACCGUACACAAGUCUCCUGGAAUGGAGCGUCAUAGAGGGUGAGAAUCCCGUCUUUGGUACGGACUGCCAGGGCAUUGUGAUGCGCUCUCAAAGAGUCGAGUUGUUUGGGAAUGCAGCUCAAAAUGGGUGGUAAAUUCCAUCUAAAGCUAAAUAUUGAGGAGAGACCGAUAGCGAACAAGUACCGUGAGGGAAAGAUGAAAAGAACUUUGGAAAGAGAGUUAAACAGUACGUGAAAUUGCUGAAAGGGAAACGCUUGAAGUCAGUCGCGUCGUCCAGGACUCAGCCUUGCUUUUGCUUGGUGUACUUCUUGUUCGACGGGUCAACAUCAAUUUUGGUCGGUGGAUAAAGGCUUAGAGAAUGUGGCAUCUUCGGAUGUGUUAUAGCUCUGGGUCGCAUACAUCGGCUGGGAUUGAGGAACUCAGCACGCCGCAAGGCCGGGUACUUGUACCACGUACGUGCUUAGGAUGUUGGCAUAAUGGCUUUAAUCGACCCG
rnacentral:sRNA from 1 species